GAUGAACGCUGGCGGCGUGCCUAAUACAUGCAAGUCGAGCGAACGGACGAGAAGCUUGCUUCUCUGAUGUUAGCGGCGGACGGGUGAGUAACGCGUGGAUAACCUACCUAUAAGACUGGGAUAACUUCGGGAAACCGGAGCUAAUACCGUAUAAUAUUUUGAACCGCAUGGUUCAAAAGUGAAAGACGGUCUUUCUGUCACUUAUAGAUGGAUCCGCGCUGCAUUAGCUAGUUGGUAAGGUAACGGCUUACCAAGGCAACGAUGCAUAGCCGACCUGAGAGGGUGAUAGGCCACACUGGAAGUGAGACACGGUCCAGACUACUACGGGAGGCAGCAGUAGGGAACGGUCCGCAAUAGGCGAGAGCCUGACGGAGCAAGGCCGCGUGAGUGAUGAAAGUCUUCGGAUCGUAAAACUCUGUUAUUAGGGAAGAACAUAUGUGUAAGUAACUGUGCACAUCUUGACGGUACCUAAUAAGAAAGCCACGGCUAACUACGUG
rnacentral:rRNA from 1 species